GAGGAAAAUAGACAAAAAAUUAAAAGUAUUAACUUGUACAAUAUGUACAACAGAAAGAGCACUUAUUGCAAGAAGAACCUGUAAUAAAUAUAGAAACAGAAUGUACAAAAUGUGGAAGAAGCUGUAGAGAAUAUAGAAGAAUAUAUUGUACAAAAUAUAGAAGAGGAAGUUACAAAAAAUAUAGAUGAAGCAACUAUACAAAAUAUAAAAGAGCAAAACAAAGCAAUACAACAAGAGAUAAUGCAAGAGAUUGACAAUAAUGCAAAUAUUUCUAUUGAAACGUUAUUGAUGCGAUUAAGAAAGUCAGAGGAACAGAAUCAAAAACUUUUAGAUAAAAAUAUAAAUCUUAAACAAAAAAUCAAGAUUUAUGUACACAAAUCACACAGUUGCAAACAGAACUGAAAAAAUGGCAAAAAA